CAGGCUGGUCGGGCAGUCGCGGUCCUGCGUUGUCGGGAUCGAGGAAAGUCCGCACUCCAUAGAGCACGGCGUCGGAUAGCAACCGGGGCGGGGAAACCGCCGAGAGGCGUGAACCUGCCGGAAAAGGGCCACAGAAACAAACAGCCCUUCCAUCCUUUUGGGUGAAGUGGUGAUGGUGAAAAGGUGGUGUAAGAGACCACCGGCGUUUGCCGUAAUGCAGAUGGCCAGGUAACCCCCGCCGGGAGCAAGGCCAAGCAGGGGCGAAAUCGUCUGUGGACGAUGGGAGACUGCUCGUCUCCGCAUGUGCUCUUCCCUCUUGUGGGAAGAGCCAGCCCCGGGUAGGCUGCACCGAGCAGCGCGGCGACGCGCUGCCCAGAGAGAUGACUGCACAGAUGGAUUACCUAGGGGCAUCCAUUGGACAGAAUGCGGCUUAUAGACCAGCCUGAGUU
rnacentral:RNase_P_RNA from 1 species